AUGAGUCUCCCCGGCGCCCCGUGGCCGAAGAGCUAGGUGUACCAUGCAAUCCCCGCCCGACUGGUCCCCGGCGACCGACGCCCCGCGGCCCUCGCCCUUCCCGCCCCCGGCGCUGCACGCCCUCCACGGCUUGGCCCGCGCGCUGCUGUUCCCGGCCUACUGGGCCCUGCACCAGCUGCAGGGUGGCUGAGGAGGGCGGCGGGCGGCGGGCGGCGCUGCUGCUGCUGCUGCUGGUGGUCGGCCCGCCCCUGGCGCUGCCCGGCCUGCCGCUCUGGCUGGUGCCGCAGGUUUGGCGCCGCCCCUUCUGCUACCGCUCCCCUCCGCUGUGCUGGGCGCCGCCCGCGCUCUGGCGCCCGCCUGCCGAACCCGGGCGCUGCUUCGUCUUCCUCACCGCCAAUCUGUGCCUGCUCCCCGACGGGCAAGCGCGCUUCGGCAACCUACCGCACAGCCAGCGACCGGCCGAGGCCAUUGGCGCCGCGCGGCCCGCGCUCUACAGGGCUACGGACUGCAGCCAGCCGUGGUCCAGGGCGCCGCGCGGGACGCUGGUGGCCUCGCUGCCCGUGGGUCUGGACUUUGUGUGCCUGCAGGAGGUAUUCGAUCUGCGCAGGGCUCGUCGCUUGGUGAAUCGCCUGGCGCCCAACCUGGGCCCGUUGCUGUACGACGUGGGCACGCUCGGCCUACAGCCCGGGCGGCACCUCAAGCUGCUGGACAGCGGGCUGCUGCUGGCCUCGCGCUACCCGCUGCUGCGCGCCACCUUCCGUUGCUUCCCCCACGCACGUGGCGAGGACGCGCUGGCCUCCAAGGGACUACCGUCCGCACAGGCGAGGCUGGGCAGCCUGGACGGGCGCCGCAUCGUGGGAUUCCUGCACUGCACGCAUUUGCAAGCACUGGCUGAUCAGGAACUGCGGAGACGGGAGCUGACUGCCCAGGAUGCGGGUCCGAAUCUGGAGCCAAGCCCACCCCACCCCCCCCUCCCCCACGCAGAAGACGGGCCCUUGCGCAGCAAACAGCUGACGCCGCUGCUGGACUGGGCCGAGAAGUUUGGGGCCGAGAAGUUUGAGGCCGACAGAGAACAAAGUGGAGAGGUCGUGGCUUUCAGCGUGCUCCUGGGCGACCUAAACUUCGAUAACUGCUGGAAAGACCACCGGCUAGAGCAGGAGCACGAGCUCUUCCGCUGUUUCCAGGAUCCCUGCCGGCUGGGCACGCGCCAAAAGCAGCCCUGGGCCCUGGGGACCGCGCUGAGCACCUCCGUGCUCCACCAGUCCAUGGCCUCCUCCCCCAAGAUGCCGAGGCGGGCCCUGGAGCAGGAGAAAGGGCGCCACCUCUACCUGGCCGGCCUUCCCGGCAGAAGCCGCCGAGCUAAGCCCUGGAGAGGAGGUGGAGCAGGUGACGUUCAGUACCGCCCUGGAGGGGCUCACGGACCACCGGGCAGUGCGCCUGCAGCUCCGAGUCUCAGUGUCCUCC
rnacentral:lncRNA from 1 species